rnacentral:rRNA from 1 species
CGGACGGGUGAGUAAUGUCUGGGAAACUGCCCGAUGGAGGGGGAUAACUACUGGAAACGGUAGCUAAUACCGCAUAACGUCGCAAGACCAAAGAGGGGACCUUAGGGCCUCUUGCCAUCGGAUGUGCCCAGAUGGGAUUAGCUAGUAGGUAAGGUAACGGCUUACCUAGGCGACGAUCCCUAGCUGGUCUGAGAGGAUGAUCAGCCACACUGGGACUGAGACACGGUCCAG